AGGAGUUUAGCACAGCUGGUUUGGCGCAUCUGCCUUACAAGCAGAAGGUCGGGGACGUUCGACCGCGGCGGCGGACCGCUCCCUCAACUCCCA
rnacentral:tRNA from 1 species